UAAAUGAUAGGUAAGUUUUGACUGAGAUGC
rnacentral:piRNA from 1 species